AAUGGUUUGAUUCUGGGAAGCCAAGAGAUUGGUUUAAAGCUGUCUGGCUUAUUUGGUUACCACUCCAUUGAGAUCUGACUGCCGACUUGAUGUUGCUACUUUACAGAAUCCUGAUUUUCUUCUUGCUUCUUUUGUUUCCAAGAUACUUCCAUUGAACCUUGGAUGGAAUUGAUGCUUGUUUAAGAUUAUUGUUUAAGGAUGUAAAUUCUGG
rnacentral:lncRNA from 1 species